CCUACGGGUGGCUGCAGUGAGGAAUAUUGGUCAAUGGACGAGAGUCUGAACCAGCCAAGUAGCGUGAAGGAUGACUGCCCUAUGGGUUGUAAACUUCUUUUAUAUGGGAAUAAAAUGUUCCACGUGUGGGAUUUUGUAUGUACCAUAUGAAUAAGGAUCGGCUAACUCCGUGCCAGCAGCCGCGGUAAUACGGAGGAUCCGAGCGUUAUCCGGGUUUGUUGGGUUUAAAGGGAGCGUAGGUGGAUUGUUAAGUCAGUUGUGAAAGUCUGCGGCUCAACCGUAAAAUUGCUGUUGAAACUGGUUGUCUUGAGUGCAGUAGAGGUGGGCGGAAUUCGUGGUGUAGCGGUGAAAUGCUUAGAUAUAACGAAGAACUCCGGUUGCGAAGGCAGCUCACUGGACUGUAACUGACACUGAGGCUCGAAAGUGUGGGUAGCAAACAGGAUUAGAUACCCGAGUAGUC
rnacentral:rRNA from 1 species